UACAGAGGGUGCGAGCGUUGUCCGGAAUCACUGGGCGUAAAGGGCGCGUAGGUGGCGCGGGCAGUCAACGGUGAAAGUUCGGGGCUCAACCCUGAAUCGGCCGUCGAUACUCCCGGGCUUGAGCACUGUAGAGGCAGAUGGAAUUCCGGGUGUAGCGGUGGAAUGCGUAGAGAUCCGGAAGAACACCGGUGGCGAAGGCGGCCUGCUGGGCAGUAGCUGACACUGAGGCGCGACAGCGGUGGGGAGCAAACAGG
rnacentral:rRNA from 1 species